GUCUGGCCGCCAGAUUGCUUUGGACCAUUGGAGCAAUGAACUCAAAUAGGACAUAUAUUAGAAGAUAAAUUGCUGGUGAUCUUAUAUAGCAACAUUUUAUAUAUGCUUCAAUUCUCAGGACUUCCUUUUGUUGGCUAUUUUUGAUGAGCUACAGCUGAGACCUGGCCUCUGGUAUGAGUCAAAUAUACAUCUUUCCCAUUGAUUGUACUCCAAUAGCUUUUGCUUGCUACUAGGUUUACAAACUAUAAAUUUGCAGAUUUUGCAAACUAAAAUUUAGAACCAUUUUCUGAGACACGAGAAUGAUUUUGAGAUUUUUACAAACUAUAGGUGUAAUUUAUGAUAAUCAUUUUAGCGAAAUAACAUAUUGAAUGUGAGCUUGUUUUAUUGCAAUGGAAGGGUACUUCCAUAAAAUAUUACUGCAAUGCACAUUGUAAAUUCAAUUGAAACGAUUUUGUGUAAAUAUAUUUUUAUUUGUUAGUACAA